GGUUGCUGAUAAUGGGCCUUCGUACGCCUAUGUAGAUAUCCCAUUCAAAAUCAGCCGUUUCCAGCUACAAGUCAUUUACAACAUUAACAAUGUCUACACUGUAUUUCUGAUCAAUUUGAUGUAAUUUUAAUGGACAAAAUGUUUUGCUUUUCUUUAAAAAACAAGGACAUUUCAAAGUGACCCCAAACCUUUGAACGGUAGUGUACAUUUAAAAAUGAAUUAAGAAAGUAAAUUAUCAAUUUACGGUGUACAGUAGUUCUUCUCUGUAAAGCCUACCAUGCUGGAGCAGUCUCAAGCAUUGGCCAGGGAGCUAGAGGAACAUGAUGCUGAACAAAACCUUGAUGGAUAUCCUGUAGGAGGACUACGCAGUGGUCCAGGUGGUGUCUGACCACAGCACACACAGAGAUGAACUGCAGGCCUGCAUCUGGACCAAAGAGCAACGCAUCUAAGACAUGGCCAAAGCCAUGCAGCAGACUCAGGGAGUGCUCAAGGAGCUAGAGGAGCAGAAACAGCACAACACAACCAGGACACCCUGGCUGAAUACACUAGGAAAAUAGAGAACCUGAACCAUCAGCUGAAAGGCAGAGAAGGAUGCGUCUUCAGUAGAGGAGCAGAUCUCCAAAGAGAAGCUAAACUCUUCUAAGCUCCAAGUGGCACUGACGGAUCCAUGAGGGGAAGAAGUUCUCAACAUGUUGCCCAGGGCAAUGUAGAUAGCUCUACCAGCCAGGCCACUGCUAGUGAAAAUCCCUGGGCAGACCUCUACUCUGUGGGACUGGGUGAAGACCACAGCGCCCUCUGUGGGCAGAUAACAGAUGCUGCACCUGCAGACACAGCGAUGUCCUGCAGCAGCGACAUUCAGACACCAGUCCAGGCAGACGAGUUCCUCAUGACACUGUCAUUGACCAUCAUAACUGUCAUCGACCAUCAGCAGAAAAAGUUGGAUGGAGCACUUGCUGAAGCUCUCGUUGAGGGUCUCUCCACCAACCUGGAUGCUCAGAAGUCAUACAGCAGUCAAAAGGAGUUGGGUAAUUUAGUGACCUGGUAGACUGCACUGACCAAACACAUGGAGGCGCUGUCUGGGAAAGUGGAGCGUCCCUGCAAAGCCAAACAGAGGGAGAACCUCAAAAUGGGGUACUUAAAAAAACGAAAAAGACUAGGCAGGUCAGUUAAGAACAAAUUCUUAUUUACAAUGACAACCUAUCAAGGAACAGUGGGUUUACUGCCUUGUUCAUGGGCAGAAUUAUAGAUUUUGGGGAUUCGAUCCAGCAACCUUUCGGUUACUGGCUCUAACCACUAGGUUACUUUCCUUCAGUGCUGGUAAAGUCACUCAAAAUGUUUUUCUAAGCCACUGUCACUUGAAAAUAUGACAAUGUUAAAGAGAAUUUGUUUAAGCAGAUGUAGGCGGGAGAAGGUCUCAGGUGUACAGUGUGAUUUCCAGAGGUCAUACCUAGAGCUGUCAACGAUGAAAAUGUAUUCAAACAAUGCACUA
rnacentral:lncRNA from 1 species